UAGGGAAUAUUGCGCAAUGGGGGAAACCCUGACGCAGCGAUGCCGCGUGAGUGAAGAAGGCCUUAGGGUUGUAAAACUCUUUCAGUGGUGAAGAUAAUGACGGUAACCACAGAAGAAGCUCCGGCUAACUCCGUGCCAGCAGCCGCGGUAAUACGGAGGGGGCUAACGUUGUUCGGAAUUACUGGGCGUAAAGCGCGCGUAGGCGGAUUAGACAGUUGAGGGUGAAAUCCCGGAGCUUAACUUCGGAACUGCCUUCAAUACUACUAAUCUAGAGUUCGGAAGAGGUGAGUGGAAUUCCUAGUGUAGAGGUGAAAUUCGUAGAUAUUAGGAAGAACAUCAGAGGCGAAGGCGGCUCACUGGUCCGAUACUGACGCUAAGGUGCGAAAGCGUGGGGAGCAAACAGG
rnacentral:rRNA from 1 species